rnacentral:rRNA from 1 species
CGUUAGCGGCGGACGGGUUAGUAACACGUGGAUAACCUACCUAUAAGACUGGGAUAACUUCGGGAAACCGGAGCUAAUACCGGAUAAUAUAUUGAACCGCAUGGUUCAAUAGUGAAAGACGGUUUUGCUGUCACUUAUAGAUGGAUCCGCGCCGCAUUAGCUAGUUGGUAAGGUAACGGCUUACCAAGGCAACGAUGCGUAGCCGACCUGAGAGGGUGAUCGGCCACACUGGAACUGAGACACGGUCCAGACUCCUACGGGAGGCAGCAGGU